GAAUAUUGGACAAUGGGGGGAACCCUGAUCCAGCCAUGCCGCGUGUGUGAAGAAGGCCUUUUGGUUGUAAGGCACUUUAAGCGAGGAGGAGGCUGCCUGGAUUAAUACUUUAGGAUAGUGGACGUUACUCGCAGAAUAAGCAACGGCUAACUCUGUGCCAGCACCCGCGGUAAUACAGAGGGUGCGAGCGUUAAUCGGAUUUACUGGGCGUAAAGCGUGCGUAGGCGGCCAAUUAAGUCAAAUGUGAAAUCCCCGAGCUUGACUUGGGAAUGGCAUUCGAUACUGGUUGGCUAGAGUAUGGGAGAGGAAGGUAGAAUUCCAGGUGUAGCGGUGAAAUGCGUAGAGAUCUGGAGGAAUACCGAUGGCGAAGGCAGCCAUCUGGCCUAAUACUGACGCUGAGGUACGAAAGCAUGGGGAGCAAACAG
rnacentral:rRNA from 1 species